rnacentral:rRNA from 1 species
CAUAGCGACUAUCGUGGCAUAUCAAUAAGCGGAGGAAAAGAAACUAACAAGGAUUCCCUUAGUAACGGCGAGUGAAGCGGGAAGAGCUCAAAUUUGAAAUCUUCAAGGUUUUACCUUGACGAAUUGUAGUUUAAAGAAGUGUUUUCUGUUGAAGUUUUGGUAAAAGUUCUUUGGAAUAGGACAUCAUAGAGGGUGAGAAUCCCGUAUUUGACCAUUAUUUUCAGCUGUGUGAUACACUUCCAAAGAGUCGGAUUGUUUGGGAAUGCAGUCCAAAAUGGGUGGUAAAUUUCAUCUAAAGCUAAAUAUUGGCGAGAGACCGAUAGCGAACAAGUACCGUGAGGGAAAGAUGAAAAGAACUUUGAAAAGAGAGUUAAACAGUACGUGAAAUUGUCAAAAGGGAAGCGUUUGACACCAGUGUUGUCUUCUCGAAAAUCAAUUAAAAAUGGCCGGAUUUUGUGUUGUAUUGACUUUAUCAGCUUUCUGCACUUUUUUCUUGUCUUUUUUAAUGCACUUUUCGUUUAACAAGUCAACAUCAAUUUCUUUUGUUGUAAAAGAGUCAUUGGAAGGUGGCUUUCAUUUCGGUGAAAGUGUUUAUAGCCUUUGACUUCUGCAAUCGGAGAGAUUGAGGUCUGCAGCGUAGAUCCUUCGGGGUUAGAUACAUUUGUGCUAAGUUAUAGUUCUUUAUAGACAACUUGUUGACUAUAAUCAAUCCUGUAACUUACUCGCUUAUGCUAUUUUACCUACGCUUAGGAUGUUGAUAUGCAUGACUGAUAU